UCGGGAGACCCUCCCUCGCGCCGCGAGAUCUUAUGACUCCGCAGGAAUCGGGGGCCACUUACAGGAACGGCCGCGACCGGCGAUUGUCAAAGGCCGCCGGGGGUCGUAAGAAG
rnacentral:sRNA from 1 species